AUUGAACGCUGGCGGCAGGCCUAACACAUGCAAGUCGAACGGUAACAGAAAGCAGCUUGCUGCUUUGCUGACGAGUGGCGGACGGGUGAGUAAUGUCUGGGAAACUGUCUGAUGGAGGGUGAUAACUACUGGAAACGGUAGCUAAUACCGCAUAACGUCGCAAGCCCAAAGGGGGGGACCUUCGGGCCUCUUGCCAUCGGAUGUGCCCAGAUGGGAUUAGCUUGUAGGGGGGGUAACGUCUCACCUAGGCGACGAUCCGUAGAUGAUGUGAGGGAAUGACCGGCCGCACUAGAACUGAGACACGCACCAGGCGCCUGCGAGAGGCAGCAGUGGGGAAUAUUGCACAGUAGGCGCGAGCAUGAUGCAACCAUGCCACGUGUAUGAAAGAGACCUUCGGGUUGUGAAGUACUUUCAGCGGGGAGGAAGGGAGUAAAGUUGAUACCUAUGCUCAUUGACGUUACCCGCAGAAGAAGCACCGGCUAACUACGUG
rnacentral:rRNA from 1 species